UACGGAGGGGGCGAGCGUUGUUCGGAAUUAUUGGGCGUAAAGGGCGCGUAGGCGGCUUGAUAAGUCAAAGGUGAAAUCCCUCGGCUCAACUGAGGAAUUGCCUUUGAAACUGUCUGGCUCGAGGCCGGGAGGGGGUAGCGGAAUUCCCAGUGUAGCGGUGAAAUGCGUAGAUAUUGGGAGGAACACCGGUGGCGAAGGCGGCUACCUGGACCGGUUCUGACGCUGAUGCGCGAAAGCGUGGGGAGCAAACAGG
rnacentral:rRNA from 1 species